rnacentral:rRNA from 1 species
UUGACCUCGGAUCAGGUAGGGAUACCCGCUGAACUUAAGCAUAUCAAUAAGCGGAGGAAAAGAAACCAACAGGGAUUGCCCUAGUAACGGCGAGUGAAGCGGCAAUAGCUCAAAUUUGAAAUCUGGCUCUCAUUUUGGGGGUCCGAGUUGUAAUUUGUAGAGGGUGCUUCGGAGUUGGCCUUGGUCUAAGUUCUUUGGAACAGGACGUCAUAGAGGGUGAGAACCCCGUACGUGGCCAAUGGUCUUCGCCAUGUGAAGCCCCUUCGACGAGUCGAGUUGUUUGGGAAUGCAGCUCUAAAUGGGAGGUAUAUUUCUUCUAAAGCUAAAUACUGGCCAGAGACCGAUAGCGCACAAGUAGAGUGAUCGAAAGAUGAAAAGCACUUUGGAAAGAGAGUUAAAAAGCACGUGAAAUUGUUGAAAGGGAAGCGCUUGCAACCAGACUUGCCUGCAGUUGCUCAUCUAGGCUUUUGCCUGGUGCACUCUUCUGUAGGCAGGCCAGUAUCAGUUCGGGCGGUUGGAUAAAGACGUUGGGAAUGUAGCUCUCCUCGGAGAGUGUUAUAGCCCAGCGUGUAAUACAGCCAGCCUGGACUGAGGUCCGCGCUUCGGCUAGGAUACUGGCGUAAUGGUUGUAAGCGGCCCGUCUUGAAACACGGACCAAGGAGUCUAACAUCUAUGCGAGUGUUUGGGUGUCAAGCCCGGACGCGUAAUGAAAGUGAACGGAGGUAGGAACCUUUUUUAAGGUGCACUAUCGACCGAUCCUGAUGUCUUCGGAUGGAUUUGAGUAAGAGCAUAGCUGUUGGGACCCGAAAGAUGGUGAACUAUGCCUGAAUAGGGUGAAGUCAGAGGAAACUCUGAUGGAGGCUCGCAGCGGUUCUGACGUGCAAAUCGAUCGUCAAAUUUGGGCAUAGGGGCGAAAGACUAAUCGAACCAU